GCCGGGUGAGGUGGUGCACACCUGUAAUCUCAGCAUCUUGGGAGGUUGAGGCAGGAGGAUCCCGAGUUCAAAGCCAGCCUCAGUAUAAAGUGAGGUGCUGAGCAACUCAGUGAGACCCUGUUUCUA
rnacentral:sRNA from 1 species